UCCUUGGUGGCCUAGCGGUUAAGGAUUCUGCAUUGUCACUGCUGCGACUCGGGUUCAAUCCCUGGCCCAGGAC
rnacentral:tRNA from 1 species